rnacentral:lncRNA from 1 species
CAGAUACACCUCAUAGAAGGAGUGGUACCCGGGCCAUCCAAGGAGUUGCCAUUAGUUUGGUUAAACAGAGAAAAGAUUUCUAGCUCGGAACUACAUGAAGUUUAGUCAGUGAAAGAAACUAAGCAAGGUACCCUCAGUCUAGCUGCCCACCAAGCUAAAUUCCGCAUCGCCACAUGUCGCUCCUACGUCAUAUACAAAGUUUCUUUUGCCUUCAAUACUUCUCGCCAAAAGAAACUAGGGGUGAUGUUGUUUGGGGGAAAUACAGAAAAGGUAGCAGAAUGCCACGUGUCGAUGAACGGAAUAACUCCAGUAUAAUCCGAGGUAUCCGGCAUAAUUCGAGGUACCCCACAUAAUUCAAGAUUAACUAGAGGUACCCCACAUAACUCUAGUAUAAUUCGAGGUACCCCGCAUAACUCGAGAGUAACUUGAGGUACCCCACAUAACUCUAGUAUAAUUUGAGGUACCCCGCAUAAUUCAAGAUACACUGCAUAACUCGAGAAUAAUUCGAGGUACUCCACAUAACUCUAGUAUAAUUCGAGGUACCCCGCAUAACUCGAGAGUAAUUCGAGGUAAGCCGCAUAACUCGAGAGUAAUUCGAGGUACCCCACUUAACUCCAGUAUAAUUCGAGAUACCUUGCAUAAUUCCAAGUUCCCUGCAUAAUUUGAGGUACCCCGCAUAACUCUAGCAUAAUUCAAGGUACCCCACAUAACUCGAGAGUAACUCGGGGUACCCCACAUAGUUCGAGAUAUCCCGUAUAACUUGAGGUACCUAACAGAUCAUAUUCAGGAAAAUCCUCUGAAAAAGUCCGCCAUGAGAAAUGUCUCCAUUACUUAAAGGAUAAUAUUUGAUUUUGUCAGAAUUAAAUAUCAUAACAUCGUACUGAAAAAUGGCGACAGCUGCCUGCCACGCCUGUCAAAAGUGUAGGACACUGUACAAAGGACAAUGGUUCUCAGCCGCCUUACUAGACAGACACUGCUAAGGUACCCUAGAUCACUCACCAGUGCGCGCCACGUACCUAAAAGAUUAAGAUACGCCGCGAACGCCUUCUUGAUUCCCAAGCAUGCACAUAACUGCCCAAAAAUCAUAAAAAUGGUAAAAAGACGCAAAAGGGCUAAAAAGGGGACAACCAAUAGCCAUAAAAAUACACCACGUGGCAGCUGAUGUACUCUAUAUAUAAAGGUGUCCAAGUUUUAUUUUCCAUCAUCAUUAUUCAUUUACUCAUGAACACUCACACUCCACUAAAUAAGCUUUCUUCAACCUUAAACCUCGAUUUACAGAGAGCUGAUAAGCUCUCUUUAUCAUAAAAAAACUCGGGUUGCUAACUUGAGCGUCGAAGUGUGAACGCCGAGGUACCCCGGCUUCACCUCUAACCUCUAUUUCACUGUUUUGCAGGCGUGAAUCUCGUUUCGAAGGCCAUUUUUCUUGGUUCAAACUUUUCACCAUUGUUACCACUUCCUCAUCCCUUCUCACCUCCUCCGAAUUCAAAGAUACCGCACACAACAAACUUGUGAGGUACCUCGUUUCCCCUAAAAAUACAAAUUCAUUGUUUUAGAUAGGUUUGUCUUUUUCUACCCCAAAAUUUGUCUAAAACAGAAACUAUAGGGAAGAAACUAUUAGCAUCCUUAGACAAAAUAGACGUGAUAGAUGAUGUUGUUGUGAAUAUGGGAUGGGUAAUUCUAAAUACCAAAUUCCCUAUGAAAAAGUAAAUAAUAUCACCUAAGGGUUUAUAUAAAGAAAUGGUCAUUUAAUUUGUUACGAAAGCAUGUGUGUUACCCAUACACACUAAUUGGGCCGGCCAAUUAUUUGGACCUUCCAUAUUUGGGAAAUUUACGAAAAUAACCAUAAAAUUUUUAUAAUUUUCACAAUUAACUCUCUCAAUUUUUUUCUAUCAACAUUAGCCAAACACACGCUUUUCUCCCCAAAUUACCCUUCUUUACAAACCAAAACAAAUUUGGUGCGAUAAACACCUGUCGCACGAAACUUAGUGCGACAUGCACCUGUCGCACCAAGGCUUCGUGCGACAGGUUGCCUUCCAAGGCACCAACAACAUUCUUAUUCUUCUUAGUCCUUUAAUUUCUCUUUCAGUCGUAGUUACUCUUCCAAAACUGUACAAAGUAAUCUGCAUUUCCAUUCUUUAAAGCUUUGAUCUUUCACUUUGUUUCUUUAAGUAGUUGCUUUCUGCAGCUUCUGGAGCUUUGCUUGUUGCAGCCUGUCGCACCAAGCCUUGGUGCGACAGGCUGCAACAAGCAAAGCUCCAGAAGCUGAACCUGUCAUUUUUCAUUAUUCAUUAUUUUUAUAAUCUGAACCUAUCAUUACUUUAUUUUGUCGUCAAACGAACUUGAUCACGGUUCUUUAUGUUCGGAUUCAUUUUCUGCAUUUGAAGUUAUGCUCUUUCGCUUUAUUUGAUUAUCUGUUGUGAAACAUGCAAUUUUGAUUGCUCAUGGGGGAGUAUUAUCUCUGAUUCAGCCAUUUCCUUUUGUUUCUGCUUUAGCAUUUAAGGGUUCAUGAAUUGAAGGCUUUGUAAAUUAAACCUUUCCACUUAAAGCAAGAUCAUUUCUCUUUAUUCGAAAAAGUUUUUAGCUGAAAUUUCCACCUUCUUACGCCUCUUCGAUAGGAUUUUGAUGGAUUGUGUGGAGUUGAUUAUGUCAAAUCUGAACUAAAUAUGUUGCAGCAAUGCAUCCUGCGACAUGGGAUUAUCUUAGACUAUAUGUCCACAAUUAUGAUUGCCCGUCUUUUCCUAUUUAUUAAUCAUCUCUUUGGAAAGUCCACAACUAUGAUGGCUUGUCUUUGCCUAUGUAUUAAUCAUCUCUUUGAAAAGUUACUUUGCUGGUGGUUCAUAAAUUGUCAUUCAUGGUCUGAAUUUUCUGUGUGAGCACCAUGCCACUAGACUAUCUCUUAUUCUCUUAAAAUGGAAGUGUUCUUGUUAGAUGUAGCUAUUGUAUUCUACUUUUUUACUUUUGAGUGUGCCUCAUCUUUGCUGUUCCAACAAACUUAUUGGUUCCAAUCUAAUGAGUUUCAUUGAAGUUUAAUUGUACAGAGGUCAAAUAUGUGUUUGAAUACAGCUAUAACAAAGUAGCUAUCUGUAUUUUAUUUGGAUUAAAAGUAUAGGAAUAUGAAAGGAAAAACUUUAGUAUGGUCCUUCUACUAGUUCAUCAUGUGUCCUGACACUUCUACUUCAGGUUGGAUGUAAACUGAUGUGAAUAGUUCACAUUGACUUGAUAUCAUAUGCAAUAUGAGAGACCAUUGAGCUCUUCCCUGAAAGCAAUUAUUCUUCCCUUUCCGACUUAGAAUGACCCUGUGCAUAUCAUAAUAAAAUCAGCUUCUAAAUCUGUAUCUUAUGACAUAUUAGAUAGGCUAGGUUGCAGAAUUUGUGAUUUAACCAAUUAUGGAGCUAAGCCAAUCUUUUAAAGAUUAAGAAAAGUUUUCGCCAAAUAGAUAAUAACUAUGAACUCACUUGAUCCUUGAAUAUCUGCAACUGCAACCUGCAUUCUCUAGUUCUAGAUUGGUGCAUAAUUUUUAUUUCUAAGUUUUACAUAACCUCCUAUUAGUUUUGUCUGGGUCCCCAUUAUGGGAUUUGAACCAACUUACCUUUUAGAUUUGUGAUACCAAACUUUUAAAUGGAAUUUUAUGAAACGUGUUCGUUGUUUUGCCAUCAUGCAACCCCUUGAUGUCAAAGUUGUAGUACUUUUAAGAGAAGCAGAUGGACAGUCUCAUAUGUAUUCAUGUGGACUUGUUAACCAAUCAAGCUAUAACGCUCAGAUACCAGAACUAAUUAUGAUCACAUUCCUAAAUUGUUAUUGAGCCAUUUUACAAAGACAAUUCCUCCACGGCAUUAAACAGCAGCUUGUUGUGUUUGUUUUCGCCAGUCCAUUCUUCUUUGUUCGCCACCUUCCCCCGAUGACGUGGCAGCGCUGCCGCAACCGGCAUUGGUCAGUGUCACUUCGACCGUAAUCGAGGAGUACGACUCCGCUAGACCGAACGAUUACGAAGAUUACAGGAGAGAGAAGAAGAAGAAAGCGGUGGAUGCUGAAAUUAGGAGAGAACUGGAGAGAAGAAGGCAAGAGGAAGAGGAAAGGGAGAUGAGAGUGAGGGGUAGUUUAGUCUCAAAGGUUCUUUUAUGGCUAAUGUUGAUAGAAAUUUGUUUGGGGGAUUAAGAUGAAAAAAACCAAAAUUUUUAUGGUUAUUGGUGUAAAUUUCCCUCCAUAUUUAGCUCUCCACUUCUUCAACUCUUUUCUUUUUUCAUGCUUAGAUAACAUAAUUUAAAAAUGUCAUAUUUUUACUAAGAGAAAUGUUGAUUCCUUACUUUAAUAAAAUAUUAUUUUAUGAGGAAAAAAUAGUUUGUUAGAAAAUAAAAAUGAAUUUACUUUUUUAACACAUUCAUGACUUUUGUUAAACAUACAUGAAAACAAUUUGUGUGUUGGAAAAUGAAAAUGAAAAUGGAAACAAGCUGUGAAGUAAAACACGAGCUUGGGCCUAAUCGGGCCAGACUUUGGGCCGGUGAACAAUUUUGAUACCUGGAUUUGGAACACGUGAGAACCGAGAACGUUACAUUUCAGAAAAUUCAAGCUAAACAAAGCCCGUAGAAGACCUCAGAAGAAGAAAAGUCCAACGUUUUUCACGAGGAAACGUACCAAGUGCCAAUAAAAAUAAACUUACAUUGACAAUUCUACCCUUCGUCUCAGGAUUCUGACCCACUCCCCCUCCUCUCUACGAAAAUACACUCGCUUCAAGUUUCACCGCCACGUGCUCUUUCUGUUCUUCGCUAAUUUACUCCCAAAAAUGCGCGUAUAUGUAACGCUCCUUCUCGAGCGUAGUAACCGACUAAAGCCUGAAAAACGAACUUUGUUUAUAUAUUUGCUUCCUUUUUCUGGAUAUUUCUCCCUGACUCUCCGUCACUGAGAACGAGCUUCAGACUUAUCCGAAUCCGAUUUAGGGUUUCUUUUUUAUCUCAUCAGAUCGGACUAUCUCGAUUAUUAAACCCUAAUCUUCGGAUCAGGUAAUCCCAAUAUCCAAUUCUUUACGAUUUCAUUCUGUUCGUUGAAUUUCAUUUUUUAAAUUUUUUUUUUUUGUGUUAUUACUUGAAAUUAUUGCUUAUGUGUUGUAUGAGUCUAAUAGAUCUCUUCCUUAUGUGAUAUUGGUGAUUUUUUUAUUGGGUUUAUUCAAAAAUCAAAUCUUUCUGGGUUUUGUAAUUUGAGCUCAUUUUUUCCUUUCAUUUUUUAUUUGGGUAGUUGAUAUAUAUAUAUAUUUUUGGCCUAGUCUUGAUCUGCCUUUUGAAAUUUUAUUGGUGUUGCCAUUUGGGGAUGCCCAAAUUUUAUUGAGAGGUUUGGGAUCUGGUUGUUUAGCGUAGAAGGCAAUUGUCAAUUAGAUGGAAUUAAUUGUGAUUCUAGUUCUUGUGUUGAAUCAAUUGAGUUCGUUUUUAUUUGAGCAGUUUCUGAUUUGAUUAUGCCUUUCUUGAGAUGUAGGUCUGAGCUUUCUGGUUGUUGGGCCCCUUGCAUUAGCUGAAGUUCAUGUCUGAUUUUGAUAUCCAGGUUCCUGCUGCCUUUGGUAAGUUUGCUUAAAUCUAUGACAUAUUUAAUUUUUUAGUCUGCACAAUUCUUGGCUCUUUGCAUGAGAAUUGGGAGGGAAAGCGUCUUGUCAAGCACAACCCCGUAUGUUUGUUAAAAAUCAUGUUCUGAGUUAUUGUGGGUGUGAAACAACAGAGGUGUGGGAUUGGACUUGGUGGCAGACAAGAUUAUAGUAGAAUUGGAUUAGGACCCACGAAGUAACUUGUGAAAAUUUUUUGAGUUGAGUAACUAUAUCCACCAUAUGAAAGGUUUAUGGAAUUUGGCAGGUUUAUGAAGCGUCAUUGAAUGUGCAAAAUAAUUAAUUAAAAGUUGAAAAACAUAAAGGCUGUAAACAUAUGUUGAUAUAGGUUGUAAACGUAUGGUAAUGUAUGUCUUUAUCUAUUUUCACGUGAUACCAGAUAUAGAGGCUAUUGGCUCAUGCCUAUUGACCAAUGACAGGCAUGCUUCUCCUAGCUGACUUCUAUUAUAGCAAGUUGCCACUCUUAAGCGGAUUUUGAUUGAGGUUCAGUUUUGAACUUAUUGGUGAAAGGUUAUGUAGUUAAAAGUGUUAGUUCUAAUGUCUGUUUGCCUGUUCUUGAGUUGUGGAAUUUAUAUAUGGCAAUGGCCAUGAUUUUUCAUUUCUUACUUAAAUCACAUGCUGCCUUUAAAAUUUGUGGUUGUAAAUCAAUCUAUAAGGAUAGCUAUAUGCAAAGAUGGAAAUCACAAUAUAGGUGCCUUUGCUUCUAAUUUAUAGUUGGUGAGGUGUUCAGUUGUUGACUUCUCAUAUCAUCGUGGAUAUUUGUUGCAUUUGGUUCUUAUUUAGCUUAUGGUCGUUGAAACGACCAAUAACACUUUACCCUUUUUAGUUGUUCUCCUUGUUGGUGAUGAUUUUACCUAUAAAUUCCUCAUUCCUUUGUUCAUAAAAAUCUAACCUUUUGUUUCUUUGCGGGUGGUAGACCCGUUUGCUGAUGCAAAGGCUGAGGACUCAGGUGCUGGUUCAAAAGAGUAUGUGCAUAUCCGUGUUCAGCAACGGAAUGGUAGGAAAAGCCUGACAACUGUCCAGGGGUUGAAGAAAGAAUUCAGUUACAACAAGAUCCUUAAGGACCUCAAAAAGGAAUUUUGCUGCAAUGGAACAGUGGUCCAGGAUCCAGAACUAGGACAGGUGCACUUUUGAUCUCUAGCUUAAGUGAUUAAUUAUUAUAAUUAUUUGUUUUAUUUUAUUUAUUUAUAUUUGAUUUCUUAUCCUUCUGUUUGUAUAUAGGUCAUUCAACUCCAAGGUGACCAGCGGAAGAAUGUAUCUACGUUCCUUGUUCAGGUAAUAUUCUUUUCUCAGUCUACCAUUAUUUAUAUUCUUAAGGCAAUAGCCAAUAGCCAAUUGGUAAAGGUUAUGCUACGAAAUCAAGUUCCAGAUUUUUAUUUAUUUAUUUAUUUAUUUUUGGGGCAACAGGCUGGGAUUGUGAAGAAGGAACAUAUCAAAAUGCAUGGUUUUUAAGUAAACAGCAACUUCCGUUUCUGCACAUUUGGUGACCCGCGUUCGUCAGUGCAGUGCAGAACAUGCUAUUGAUACUAUUUAAAAAAUAUAUAUAUAUUUGUAUGUGCUGGUGCUGUUAUAUCAUCUCCUGUGUUGGUUUAGUAUUGUUUUAUCUGUUUUUGUGCCACUGAUGUUUCCUAGUUCUCGGUUUUAUGUAAUGUGGGAUGAUUAUGGUUAUGUGAUGCAGUAUAGUUUGCUUGUAUGUUGUAAGUGCAAAUUAUUAUCCAAAGUUAUCAUCUAAUUUUAAUGGGUACUAGAACGAAUAACUUGCUGAGAGUUGGGAUGUGCUUAAUGGAAAACUAUAGAUGUUCUGUAACUGUUCAGGCUGUGGUACAAGUUUGAGAUGGUUUCGCUGUGGCAGCUGAUCCUAGACUUCAAAAAAAAAAAAAAUUUCCCCUCGCAAGUGGUCAUUUGUUAAAGAGUAAUUGAAAGUAAAAUAACCAUCGCAGAUAUUUAUGUGUGGAGUAAAUUCACCGUACAUCUAAAUUUUUGGUUACACUUUUAAAUGGAGCGAAAGAAAGGUUGAGUCGUUGAGAGACGAGGCAGAGAGGCUUCUGGAACGGAAAAUGUUUUUAUUAAUUUUUCUGAUGCGACUGGUUCACUUGCAGUAGUUUUUGAGGGUGCGCUGGGUCAAUUACAAUGUUGUGAUGGGAGAUGCAAUUUCUUGAACAUGGGUCGUCAAAAGCUGUUCAUAUUCUAUCUGUUAGGGCUUUGAAUUCAUUCGAAGGGCACAGAUUUCUUAGUUCUUUUCAUAAUAAAUACAUGAUGUCGAUUGUUUGGAUCGCCAGUUGUAUGCAUCAAAAAAUAAAAAUAAAAAAUCCAAAAUUUCUUAUUCAACAAAGGAUUUUAUGUAGUGGUGAUGAUUAUGAUGUCUUAUAAUAAUAUUAAGGAAGUUAUCAGGACAUUAGCUGUAAAAAAGAACCAUCGCAAGUUUUCUCUUAUCUUUUUUCCAUUAGAAAUAUUAUGUCAUACGUAAUUUCUAUUGAAAUCUAGCUUGCAAACACUAAACAUUUUAGGACAUUGGUUGAGCCCCAUUUUCAUCACCACCGUCGCUCGCCAAUUUUGCCCACAUUUCUUAAUCAUUCGUCCAUCGACAAAUCAAACACAAUUACUUAUGCUCAAGUUGAUAUAUACAUAGGACAUGUGGGAUUCCUUUUUUAUAACACUUAGCAUGUUGAUCUUGGAAUAGUUCUUUUUUCCUUUUUUUUUAAUUAAUAAUUAGAGAGAUGUGUACUUCGAUUAAUAAUUUUAGAAGAAAAUUUACUAUUUGGUGGUUCUAUAAGGGGCUACAAAUUAGCCUUAAUUUUGUUGACGUUGAAUGUUUUUUAUUAGUGAAAAAUAAAAUGAGUUAUCCAAAAAAUAUUGAUGUACCGUACAUAUAUUUAUUAGUGAAAAAUAAUAAGAAUUACUCAAUAAAUACUGAUUUACCUGUACAUAUAUUUAUUGAACGUGGUUGCUAGCUCGCUCUCGUAAUUUUUAAAAUUAAUUAGUGCAUAUAUUAUAUGAUAUUAUUGAGACUUUUAUAUGGAUCUGGUACCUGAUGUAUCAAAAAAUUUCUGUUAUUUGAGUUUAAAUAGUAAUGUUUUCCAAAAUCAAUCGAAGAAAUAUGUGUUUGUUUUUUUUUUUCCAUUUCUUCUUAAUUAAUGAAAAAUGUACCUAAAAUAUGUAAUUUACUUAUUUUUAUUAAUGUUUGCUGAUAAUUUGCCUGCCCAACAAUAAAUUCACCUGUCCCGUGAAAAGAUAUCUCACGGAAUCACUACACGAUAAAAGCUUCAGUCCAAGAUCACAAAACUCAAAAUCAUCACAAAACUCAAAAUCAUCACAAAAGCCUAAGUAGCCAAAUAUUAACACAACGACAAGAUGACAGCGAGUGACAAUUGCAGGACUCCGCAAUUGGACGGUAGAGUCCAGUUUACGCUUUACCGGAACUGGCACGCCACUUGCACGAAAACCAGAACAAGCUUUGGGUAAUUGACACGUGAAUCCGUUUCUUUUGUGAAAUUACAAGAAAGAUUAGUAGUUUUCGUUCAUAUCCAACCAAGUCUUCCUUAUUGUGACCCGGUUCGUGCGCUUUGUUCCGAUUUUGGAUUCAAAUCUAUAUGAUAAACUGCAGGGAAAUCCACCAAAUCCACUGAAUCAUCAACGGCAAGCAAAAUCUUGGCCUAAACAAAACACUCCGUCAGGGCAUCAAAUUAUCUAAAAAGGGUUAAAGAUCACAUGCUUCAAUUAAGAAUUGAUUUAGUUUUCUAUUAAAGGAACUAUUUUGCCGGAGUAUGCUUCAUAUGAUCAAGCCAUUUAGUUCCGUUCAUAUCUUUAGAUUAAGAAUGGAGAAUAUGUAUUAUUUUUACUUCAACCAAUCCUUAGUGUCGUGGACUUUUGUAAAACAAUUUGUAUAAAUUACUGUUUGAUUGUUAAUGAAAAUAUCAACCAAUACUUCCCAAUCUCAUAUAAGUAACAAUUUAUAAUAAGGGUUGAAUAGUCUCUCUACAUUAUGGUAGAAUUGAUUUUUCUCCGGUAUUAAUAGUGAGGGCAUACCUCCCUUCAUCUUUAAGUGAAGGGUUGAUAUUCGGGCUGUACCACAAUAAGAUUAUUCAGGAGAGUCCCGAUUGACUUCUGAUUGUAAAUAUCAGUAGAGCUCUAAUUGUAAUAUAUUAUAUAUCAGUGUAUCAAAAAAAAUAAAUCAAAAAAAUUAUUCAUAAUAUAUUAAUGACGGUUUGUUUUAUUACUUUAAUGAAAUAACGUUAGAUUGAAUAUGAUUUAUUGUGUUUUUAAUUAAAUAAGUAAAUUAAGUCUAAUUUACUAUUAUUUUUUAUCAGUAUUUUAUUUUAAUUUUUUUAACCAAAUAUACUCCGUCCUUUUAUCUAAAAUAUCAUUUUUCUAACACAAGUUUGAAAAUCUGAAACCUCAUUGCUAAUUUUGAUAUUUUACUAAACAACAGGGAGUGCUGCCCCAAUUAACCAAAAGCUUUGCAGUUCGAACGUGCAAAAUUUUUGUCCUCUCUACCGAGUUUCUAGACCCUUCAAACCCUAUCCUCUUUCCACGUGUCCCCAGAUAUUUUCCUUCACCGCCGCUUUUCUCCUCUCUAUAUAAUAAUAAAAUCCCACUACUAUCCUCCUUGACUCACCAGUCAUCAUCACUACUGCAAAUCAAAUUACUUCUCAUUUUCAAAGCUUCUAAGCAGCAGGGGAAGGAGGGGAAAAAAAAAAAAACCAUGGCAGCCAUGGCUUCUACAGCUUUCACUCCUUCAGUUUCGACCACCACCAAUAAGCUCUUUGACUCAUCCUUUCAUGGGGCUCCCAUGUCACCUUCUCUUCUACGUCUUCAACCCAUCAAAUCUUCUCGUCCCAACAACUUGUCCAUUUCUGCUUCUGCUUCUGCUUCUCCUCCUUAUGACUUGAACACUUUCAAGUUUGACCCCAUCAAAGAAUCCAUUGUUUCUCGUGAAAUGACACGCAGGUAUAUACAAGCAAACAAGCAAGCAAGCAAGCGCGCACACACACUAAUCACUAGGGCUAGGUUUUGUUCAAAAGUGAUUUUGUAGAAACACUUAAAUUUAAAAGCACUUAUGUGUCUGUAGGUACAUGACGGACAUGAUCACUUAUGCUGACACUGAUGUGGUAGUGGUUGGUGCUGGCUCUGCUGGCCUCUCUUGUGCUUAUGAGCUCAGCAAAAACCCCAACAUUCAGAUUGCUAUUAUCGAACAGUCUGUUAGCCCCGGCGGUGGCGCGUGGCUCGGCGGACAGCUCUUCUCUGCCAUGGUAUAAUAAAUUGCAAUUUUUCUUUGUUAUCAAUCAUAAUGCUUGUUGUUAACAAUAAACGUUAAUUUUUUUAUUUGGUAUGUUUUAUCUGAUAAUCAUAAAUAUUCAUUUAAUAUCAUAAUUUUUUAAAAUUUUUUAGUUAUUGUUUGUUUAUUUUUUAAAUAAUAUUUUUAAGAUUAAUUAAAUUAUUUUAUUUUUAUUAGUAAAAAUUUAAAUUUUGAGUUUUUGUUCUGGAGGUUAAAAUAUUUUUAAAAAAUGUUAUAUAUUUAAUUUUUUAUUUAUUUCAUAAUUUUAUUUUAUUUCUUUUCGUAACAUGAUUGUAAAAAAUUUAUUUAUUAAAAUAAUGUUAUAAUUUUUAAUAAAAAUAAUUUUUAUUAACAAUCAAAUAAUUAAAUUUUUUUAAUAAAAACUUAGAAAAAUUCUACUACCAAAAAUUUUAUUUAAGUAAGCUUUAUAGUCUGUAUAUGGCUUAUGAUAAUAAUUAAUUAUAUGCUAAAAGCUCUGUUAAAGAUAUCUCCAAAAAGCUCUGUUAAGGACAUCAGUUCGUGUCAAAAGAGACUUGCUGGAGGGUGGUGGGUCUGAUGGUCCCUCUUGUCAUUAUUAAGGAAAUAAUUAAGUUUAUUUUUAUUUGUCUAAUUAUUGGAAAUUCCGAUUUGGAAUCGAGUUAUUUCUUCACUUUAAUAUUGAGAUGAGUGAAAUGGGACAAUAUCUUGGUUAAAUGAGGAGUUUUGUAAUUUGGGUCACCUGUAACGCAUUAAUAUCAUAUUUGGACUCUUAAUAUUCUAUUUAUGUCUCAUACAAAUCAAACCUUUAUGAUUUGAUUUUAUCACUUCAUUAGAAUUGCUGCCACACAACAGAGUAUCCGAGAUUUCGUACAAAACAAUUUAGGUCUAAAUUGGAGUUAAUUGAAUUGCCUGUAAUUUGAACAGGUUGUGCGCAAACCAGCCCACAUCUUCCUUGACGAGCUUGGCAUCGACUACGAUGAGCAAGACAACUAUGUUGUGAUCAAGCAUGCUGCUCUGUUCACCUCCACUAUAAUGAGCAAGCUCCUCGCCCGCCCCAACGUCAAGCUCUUUAAUGCAGUGGCAACCGAGGACUUGAUAGUCAAAGGCGGCAAAGUUGGUGGUGUGGUGACCAACUGGGCGUUGGUGUCAAUGAAUCACGAUACACAGUCUUGCAUGGACCCCAAUGUAAUGGAAGCGAAGGUGGUUGUGAGCUCUUGUGGCCAUGAUGGGCCUUUUGGGGCCACUGGAGUAAAGAGGUUGAAGAGUAUCGGAAUGAUCGAGGAAGUGCCUGGAAUGAAGGCACUGGACAUGAACUCUGCAGAAGAUGCUAUUGUGAGGCUGACCAGGGAGGUUGUGCCUGGUAUGAUAGUUACCGGCAUGGAAGUUGCCGAGAUUGAUGGUGCUCCUAGAAUGGUACAUAUGCUUACGACUCUGUUUCUUAGCAGCCUUAGAUUAAGAAAGUUGCUGCUCUUCAAUCUCAAAACGGUUUCUUUUAUACUGUUUUAUAAUGUUUACAAGUAAGUAGCAAAUGUAAUAAUCUGAAUGCAGGGGCCAACAUUUGGAGCAAUGAUGAUAUCGGGGCAGAAGGCUGCGCAUUUGGCGUUGAAGUCACUGGGCCAGCCGAAUGCAUUAGACGGUACAUAUGUGGGAGGCGUUCACCCUGACCUGAUCUUAGCUGCAGCUGAUUCUGCUGAGACUGCUGAUGCUUAAUUUGGUAAUAACAGGCAUCAUCACUCAUCAGCUGUGUGCAUGCAAAUAAACUCUGGCAAAAAAGUAGUUGUAUUUAGGUGGUUGUGAUGGAUGGUUGAUGCGAAUAAUGAGAUAAUGUUGUGAGGUUUUGUGAAUAAAGUGUUUGUUUCCGGUCCAUCAUGCAACCUUUAAUUUUAAUUUCUUUCUCCUCUUGUAAGAAACCGUUGUGAGUUUUUCGGAGGUGAAUUUGCAGUUGCGUAUCUAGGCCUUGUUAUCUGUAUUAUGUUAAUACUGCCCUUGGGCUGUUCCCUUUUCUUUGCUUUGUAUGUUUAUAACUUGAGGCAUCAGCCAAUGGGAAAGUGCUGAUGUGAUUAAGAUCAAUGAUGAAGAUCUGAGCUUAAUUCUGUUUUUGUUGCUAGGGCAAGUAUUAACUUCGAUAUGAUCUUGUGAUGAACGGAGUAAUAAGCUGUAAUUGAGAAAUUACGAAAGGACCUUUUAUGGUGAAAAUUAAGUGAUUGAAUGGUGUACAUAUAAGAACCCCAGUUUCAGUCCAUGUUAGGCUGUUGAAAAGCCGAGAUUAAUAGCUCGUUCAAUUUCCCAGCAUAAUGCCUGAGAUACCGAGUCAGGCUCCUAAAACUGGGUAGAAUUUCUAGUCCCAAGGGAAAUAAAUGUGGAUUACUGAAAUCCCGUAAUGUUUUGAAAACUGUUUUGUCGUGUUAAACUCUAAUUUGAGAGUUGGAAUAUGCAACGUUGCAACAUUAUCAAUAAGAGGAUGUGGGCUCUAUUGCUGUGAUACUUGGUGUGUGUCAGAUUAAUUUUUAAUAUAUAGAGAGAAAUAAGAUAACUCGUGACCUUGGUGCCUAAUAACCGUUGGUUAUCGUAUCCUUAAUUACAUAUUAGGACCUAUCUCAAUGUAUCAUGAUAUGUGCUUCUAUCCCUUUUUUCGGGAAAUUUGUGAAAAUAACCAUAAAACUUUUAUUAUUUUCAUAAUUAAUUUUCUUAAUUUUUUUCUAUCAACAUUAGCCAAACACAUGCUUUUCUCCUCAAAUUAUCAUUCUUUACAAACCAAAAACGAGUCGUGGGUGAAUUUAGCGACAGGUUGCCUGUCGCACGAAGCUUGAUGCGACAGGUGCGUGUCGCACGAAGCACCUGUCGCACCAAAACAAUAAGGAACAAGACUACUCUAUUGCAAGUUCCCCAUGUAUGUUUCAAAUACAUAAGCUUGAUGAUUUAUUGCGUCAUAAUACCAAAACAGAAAAAUAAUGUGAAGUAAAACUAAUCUUUACUCUAAUAAGAAAGCUUAAUCCCAUGCAACCGGUCACUGAAAAAGAAAGUGAAUUAAGAUUACGAUUUCAUGCGAACGCGUAGAGACAAAUUAAAAAGAAUAAAUGUGUUGUUGGCGGUUCCGUGACAGCACGUUGCUCUUCGGUUGGGUCUUGCCUCUGGCGCUCGUAUUAGAGACAAACUCAUAAAAAAAUAAAAUAAAAACAGAAACCCGCGAGAAAUUGAAACAUCCGCCUCGCGGGAUCGUUUGAGAGAGAGAGAGAAUGAGGAAGAUGAUGUUAGUCUUUGUAGAAUCCGUCUCUCUUUCUCUGUCCUUUGAUCCUAAAUCCUCUCUCUCUCUCUCUUCACUUCACAUAAAUCCCAAAAAAGAAUAUCAACCUUUCUGCUAUUUUCAGUUCUUGUUUUUUUACUGUAACUUGUCAUGGAUUAUGUGCAAUAACUCGUAGUCGCCACUCUACUUUUAUUCUCUUAAUUAUGCAGACAAGACCGUAACUGAUUCUAUCUCUGUUCUUUCUCAUCUGGGUUCUUCUUCAAUGGCCCGUAGUCAUCAUCAUAAUGACAAACCCAAGAGGCUUUAUCAAGUCUGGAAGGGAAGCAAUGUGAGUUUUUUCUUUUCUUUUUUUUCCUACUCUAUGUAAUCUAUUUGUCGUGAAUUCAAUCGGGUAUCUUCCAUAAGUUGUUUUUGGUCGUUUUUUGAAUGCUUAAUCUUUUCUUAUUUCUUAUUUGACCGGCUAUGGCUGGCUAUAGUGAUUAACUGCAGCUAAUCUUCCUAUGAGAUUCUUCAUUUUCUUGGUGCGACAGGUGCCUGUCGCACGAAAAGGCAGAUUCACUCACGCUGGGCAACAAUUCCCUCAUGAAUGCCAAUGAAAAUUGAGAAAGAAACACUCCCAAAACAACAACAACCACCACAAACACCACCACCACCACCAUUAUUCUCAAACUACAACCACUAUUAUUCUAAAAUUUCAUUUUAAAUUAAUGAAAAUAAAUAAAAUGGCUAACUUUGGUUUUGUUGAAGGCUGUAGAUGGUAGAUCGGACGCCGAUGAGGGAUGGAGCCGCUGCCGAUGAGUGCUGAAGUUGCCGCCGACGAUGGGAGGUUCUUCGGUUUGGGAGAGAUGGGAGAAAGAGAGAUUGUUGGGGGAGAGAUGAGAGAGAGGGGUAUUUUGGUCUCAAAGGCUUUCUUAUGGCUAAUGUUGAUAGAAGUUUGUUUGGGGGGUUAAGAUGAAAAAAGUCAAAAUAUUUAUGGUUAUUGGUGUAAAUUUCCUAAUUUUUUCUUCUUAAAAAAAAAAUCUCAUAAUGUGUAGAAAAAUUUGAACGCUCAACCGAAGUAAAUAAAUGUGCCUAUUAGGCUACUAGGCUAAGAAAGUAAUCAUUUAGGGCGUGUUUGGUAUCCCGCACAACAUAGUAUUAAAACACUGUUUCGCAUUAACUUAAUACUAACUCAUGUUUGGCGUUAAAUUCAACUGGCGUGGUAUUGCAUUAACUUGGGAAACUAAUGCGGUCAGAUCCGCAUAAACCAAACCCGAGGGGGGGUUCGAGUUUACGCCGCAUCGUAUUAGAGCAAAUCAAGAAAAUAAAAUUGAAAAAUUUUUACAGCAUGUUCACGAUGAAAUUCAUAUCACCCAAUCUAGUACCACCAAAUCGACUUGGCAAUCAUCGCUCGACGCCAUCACCGACGCUUUUACACUGCCGCGCAACACCAUAGCCAUUGUUCCAUGAAGACGCCUUCACUGUGGAGAAGAUAAAGCUCAGAGAAGAAGAAGAAAGAAGGAGAAAAAGAGGAAAAGAAAAAGGGAAAACAAAUUGAAGAAGACAAAGAAAAUAGAAGAAAAUGAGGAAAAAAAAGAAUAUGAAAUGAAGACGAAGAUAAAGCCCAGAGAAGAAGAAGAAAGAAGGAGAAAAAGAGGAAAAGAAAAAAAUUGAAGAGGACAAAGAAAAUAGAAGAAAAGGAGGAAAAAAGAAAAUGAAAUGAAGACGAAGAAAGAGAAAAAGAGAACAAAAAUGAACGAAGAAGAAAAAGAUCUGGAGAAGACAAAGGUAGGAGAAAGAGGAAGCUGAUAAUGAUACAUUGAAAAGCAUUACCUAAAGAAAAAAAAAGGAGAGGGAGGAAAUUAAAAUAAAUAAAUAAAUAAAAUAUGUUUUUUAAUAAAUAAAUAAAACGUUAAUAAUUAUUUUUUUCUAAAUAUAUAUCAUUUAAAUUAAUUUAAAAAAAUUAAUACAGUGAAGUACCAAAAACAGUAUAACUAAAAAUUAUAAAUAUUAUUUUAUAAAUAUAUAAUAUAAAUUAAUCACAAAAAAUUAAUACAGUACAGUGCAACACCAAACAUAGUAUAACUAUAAAUUAAUACAAUACAAUACAACACCAAAUAUUGUACAAUAUUGUUAUAAUACAGUGUUAAUGCAAUACAACAUAAUACAAUACACCAACAUAAAAAUAAUUUAAUACAACAUAAUACAAUACAGUGUGCCAAACGCACCCUUAGUGCAGUAAUUAAUACGUAAAAGUUAUUUAAGUUCAUUAAGUAAAUUUUUAAUAAAUAUCCACUAUUUUAGUGAAAUAAAAAUAAGUUAAAAAAUAAAAAAUAAAAAAUACAUAAUUUAAUAUAGUAUAUUUUAUCUUAUAAUAUAUUAAAAUCUUUAUUAUUUUAUCUUUUAAUUUAUCAGCAACCAUAUUAAAGUAGUAAAAGAAUCCUAAGGAGACUGUUAUUGUAAAUUAUUAGAAAAAUUUUAUCUUCUUUUUAUUUACUGAGGUUAUUAGUUUCAGUAAUAAUAAUGUUUGUAUAGAAAUAUCUAAUGAGUACGAAAAGUGGCACAAAGAGUAUUUGAGAUAAAAAAAAAUUUUAUUUUCUUAGAAAAUUUUAUUUCGUCUUAUAUUAUUUUUUUAUGUAGGAUGCUAUUUUUUUACACCGACCACCGUUGGUUUUAAUAAUAAUGAUAUUUUCUAUUGGAUUUUAGUCAUAUGCUAUUACCUUUUUAUAAAUAAUUUUUUUAAUUAGAGGUAUUUGAAGUUAAAAACAAACACGGAAAAAUAUAAAUUUUAAUAUAAUAUAUUUUAUCAUACAAACACGUAUAAACUUAUCACCGACUUUGAUAUGAUCAUUCACCCUGCAGGCUCCAUGUAUGUAUAUAGUUAUUUAUUGAAUUGCAAUUCUCUUUUUUAAUAAUAAAAAAAAAGAAAUAAAUUUUCCCAAAUUAAAAAAAAGGUCAAAAUAAAAGCCAGAGGGGAGAGGAGUGGGACUCCGGUUCUUUUUCCUUCACCGUAAGACGCCGGGAACGAAAACCAUACGCUCCUUGAAGAAUCAGCAAAACGUCGCCGUUUCGUCCAGGUUCGCUUCCUCUUAACGCAAACCCUAACCCUUUGCUUUUUCUCCAAAAUCGUUGCUUAUAAGUCUAGAUUUUGUAUUAUUCUAAUUUUCAAUAUUUAACGUUCUUAUUGGAUAAUGAUUCGAGGAGUAAUUGAAUAAUUUGACUUUUGGUUACUGUAAUGUGAUUAGUGGCAGCUAAAUAAAUCGAAAGAUGGAGGAAAUUUUUGCUCUGGUUCUGUCUAUGCUGCUAAUUUUCGCUUUGAUUCCAAUUUAUUUGUGGAAACGUCGCUCAGAUUCUCGAGAACAGCCACAGGAGGUUUGUAAGAUUGUAUUUCUUUUUAAUUUUACGAUUAAGACAUAAUUGAUUAACGUUUUGAAGAUUUUAACUCGAAUUCGAGCAUGUAAACUAGAAUUGUUAGAUUUAGCUUCAAAGACUGUUUCUAGUAACAGCUUUUUCAAAGCAUUGUUGAGGACAGUCAAGUGUGUCUUUCUGGUUAUGAUUGUAACUAUUGUCCUGAUGCUUAAUUUUGAAGCAGAUUUUAAUUUUUUAUUGUAUUUUUUAACUCGAAGCUAAUGAACUGCUGUUCAUGGUUUUGGUUUGCAAGAAUAUGUUCUGAGUUCUAAGAGCAUUGUCUGAUGGAGUUGGUAUAUGUGUCUUAAUGUGUAGUAUGGAUUACAGGCUCCACAGGUACAUCAGAGGGAGAAUGUGGUACGUGCAACUGGUGCUCGUCGGAUGCGUCGAAGACCAGCUGCUGGAGCUAGCACAUCAUCAGCUGGAGCUGCAGAAGUAGAAGGUUAUUGGUGUUCUGUUUUGCAUUUACUAUUAUUAUUAUAUUAUUUUUUUUUUUCACUCUCUUGCUCUUGUGUUUUCAAGCUAUUGUGGUAUAUAUAUUUUUUUGGAUUGGUUUCUGCCAAAUAUGGGUUACAUUAAAAUGCAAAGAAGCGUUUCUAAUAACUGUUAGGGUAAUUUGGAAAGCUUUUGGAAGCAAGUAUAGUGGAUGAUAUUUUUGCCUUUUGGUUUGUUUUGGAAUUGUUCUGAGAUCCUGUAUUUGAAAUGUUUUUGGAUUUUUAGCUUUGUAAAUUUUGAGUGAAUAGUGAACAUAUGCUAUCAUAAGCCUUGUCAUGAUGGAAUAAUAAUGUAUUACAUUUGAGUAAUCUGAAAAAUCUUGAAAACUGGUUAUAUUGAAUGUACUAAUUGUUGUACACAUCUGAACACAGAAACUAUUGAAGGAAGCGAUGAUGAAGGUGUUGCGGGUGGACAUUAUGAGGCUAAAGCAUCAAAGAAGAAGGAGAAAAGACGGCAAGAGCGGGAAGCAGCACAGCAGGUACAUUUUCUAUCUUUUCUUAUUUUUCAUGCUUUUUUCCCCCCUUUUCUGUCUUGAGUGAGGCCACCUUUCAAUGAAUGUCAUUUGAAGUUAAAUGAAAUUCUAAACAAAAUUAUUUAGAACUUUUGAAGAAAACUUUUCUUCUUCCUUUAGAUGUAAUGGUGAAAGUUUCAUUUAAAUGGGCAUUUUCAGUAACAGAGUCAUUCUCAAAACAUAUAUCCAUAGAGUAUUAGAAGGUUAUGAAUCUUCGACUAGGAAAGAUACUAGAGCAAACUCUUUGCCGCUUAUUUUGGUCUGUCUAUGCACAUCGUUUCUGUUUCUUCUUUCUUUUUCAUUGCUUUUUGAUAUGUUUGAUUUGAAGGCGGAUGAAGCUGCUCGUGAGUCUAGGCAGUCAAAACAAGACCGUUAUACAGAAAUGCGGAGGAGGAAGGAUGAGGAGCGUGAAGCACGGGAGAGUGCACUGGUGAGUUGAUCACUUUUCUUUUAGUGGUGCUUUAUUUUGUAUGUCUGUUGUGUUCUUGUAGUAAUUUUCUGGCUAAAAAUCCUUGCCAUGACUUAAAAGGAAGAAGAAGCUAAAGCUCAGAAAGCAAGGGAGGAGGAAGCAGCUGCAUUGGAGUUUGAGAAGUGGAAAGGGGAAUUUUCAAUUGAUGCUGAAGGAACUACAGAAAACGAAGUGCAAGAUGGAGAUCGGGACUUGCUGGCUGACUUCGUGGAGUAUAUAAAGGUACUACCCAGCUCUCUACUUAUCAUCGGGGAGAUUUACCUUUGAAAAAUAGUGUUUUGACUGUACUUGUUAGUGAGUGGGAGAAAUUGCAAUUGCUAUUCCAAUAAGAUUUAAUUGUCAAUUUAUUUGCUUUGUGGUAAAUUGGAACGUUUGAGAUGAACAGAAUUUUAGGAAGUACUUGGUAAUGCUUUAGGAGUAAUCUUGCAAGCAUAUGUUAGUCAUAGUUGCUUGGCACUGAAGCUUCUUGCUUCUGGGUACAGGUUUUGGUGCUAAUUGUUUUUGUUCCUAAUAUGAUCUUGCAGAAACACAAAUGUAUUCCUUUAGAAGAUCUUGCUGCAGAAUUUAAGUUGCGGACCCAGGUAAAUGCUUGCUGGUAGAGCUGUUUUAUUUUGUUUGUCAUAUUUUUUCUGCGUAAACAAAAAUAUUUCCUUCUUAUCUCCCCAGCUGGUUGCAAUGAUGGAGUAUUCUUAAAUCGUGACUACCAAUGUGCAUAUAGAUCUUUAUUUGUUAUUUUGAUCAAUGAGUUUAAGAAGCUGAUGUUUUUGUAGUAUCUGUUCUAUGAACACAUCUCUCAGUCAAAUAGUGUUUAUGCACUGUGGUUAAUCAUGUCAUAGUUUCAUAGUUUUGUACAAUAUAUUGCUUCCUAAUGUUGCGUUAUAACUUUUGGUCCAUGCAGGAGUGUAUCAAUCGGAUUACCUCUCUUGAAAAUAUGGGUAUGUGUUCUUCCAUUUCUUGUAUUUUAUUUAUUUAUUUAUUUAUUUUAAUGAAUAUGUUGUUUUAACUAAAUGAUGGCUCUUCUUCUAAAACCAAAAAAAAAAUAAAAAAUGAUGGCUCAUUGCUGCAACUUUUGUAUUUAAGCUCUCAACUUUCAAUUUUUCUAAGUUGUCUUGUGUCGAUAUAUAUUUUUUGCUUUAGAAUUUCUUAUCCUUGAAACCAUUAGCGGCCCUUCCUGGUUGACCUUAGUUUAGGUUUUGUCUCUGAUCCUUGGUAAUUUUGAUUGUGUUUUUACCUCGUCAUAGAUAAACUUGAAUGGUUCUUUCAUUCUAUUUGUGAUUUAUGAUAUGGAGCUAUGUUCUGUAAAAUGCUUGCUAAGGAAUUUAACUGUGAAUUUGCUCUUUGAAUAGGGCGACUUUCUGGUGUCAUGGAUGAUAGAGGAAAAUACAUAUACAUCUCACAGGAAGAGAUGAAAGCUGUAGCCGACUACAUUAAGCGCCAGGGAAGAGUUAGCAUAUCGCACUUAGCUAGUAAGUCCAACCAGUUCAUUGAUUUGGAAACAAAAGCACAGUUUGUUGAGGAUCUCAGCGGUGGGGAGGAGAUUUCUGUUGCUUGACUUCAAGUAUGCCCUCAAUUCAUGUCACAUACGUAUAGGGUUUGAACACAAAAUGAGUAUGGGAAAGAAUGGAAAAAUUCCAUAAAUUCACGUGUAGAUUCUCAUGAUAGGCUACUGAAAAACAGGGGCACUGAACAUUGUGGCACUGGAGACUGGUAGGGGCAUGCACCCUUCUGACCUAGGAAGUGUGUUGAACAUCUAUUUAAAAAACUUUUACAAAAAGAUGAUAGGAAGUUAAAUUGUAUAUUUCUCUCUUUUUCCUUCUUUUUUUAUGUCCUCUUGAUAUUAGUUUAAUUAUCAAUAUCUAUUGGAAUAUAUUUAACGGUACUCCUGAUCAGUGUUUUAAAAUUAGCCAUCAAUACACUUUACCAUUUGAAAUUGCUGUCAUUAGUUUAUUAAAGGAGCAGUAAAUUACUAUCAUUUUGAAAACUGAAUCUUGUGUUAUUACGGCAGCUAAAAAAAUUUCAGUCUCUCAUCUUCUUUAUCUCAGCCAAAUGAUUUUGGUGUGAUACUUUCAUCUCAUUGUAUAAAAGGAAUAGUACUCGAUCCAAUUAGUUCUUCUUGUACUGUUGAUAUUUUUACCAUCAUCACUAUUAUUAUUAUUAUUGUUGUUGUUGUUCAAAAUUGUUAGUUUCCGCAAUUUUAACUGAUAACACUAAUGGGUUGCUUCAGCUAAAAACUGUUGGAACAAUAAAACUUUAAAAUUUCCUAGUCUUUUCAGGGCAGUUGAUGAUUGAACCAAGGGCAGUUAUUUUCCACGACAGCUUAUGCAACGGAAUAAACUUAAAAUGUAAAAAACAAAGCUCGUACCAUUGGAGCACACACUGUUUAAGUUGUAAGAAUUUCUCAUUAGUUAUUAACGCUCUACCGUCCGAUGAUGAAGGUGCUGAAAAUGUCGUGACCUUUGUGCUAAUAAUUACAGUGAUUAUAAUUUAAAAAUGUAGACAUUAAGUUCUUUUUUAUGGUGGUCCAAAAUUUUUUUGUUAAGUUGGAAGACCAAAAAGGGGAGAAAAAAAUCUUUAGCCAUUGAUGUAUGACUUGUCAUUUAUAAUUUCAUCACAGUAAUGACAUGGCGUAAAGGUAAUUCAAAAUUGUAUAUGUGUCUUUUAUAUCGUUAGUUGAUGGAUGACAAAUCCUAUUAUGUUACUCCACAGCGUAAUAAGUAUGGCAUGUCAUUUUUAAAUUCAUUAAAGAGAUGAUAGUUUGUACUUUUUUUUUUUAAAUUUAAAGAAAGAUUUGUAUGACAUGUCGUUUAUAAUUCAGCUAUUUAAUUAUAUUAUAAUUAAAAUACAAAUGAAAGUUCAAUGAAGAAACAAUCGAUUUUAGCCGUAAAAUAUUUGAAGAUUUUAUGUUAUGUUUGUAAUAAUUAAUAAAUUUUAUCAAACACAUACAUUCAGUUAUGAAAACUCAUAACACUCAUAACAGUACAGUUUAUACAAACACCUUACUACGUUAUUGUAUAGUUGAUUAUUUCUUUGGCAUAACAAAAAUAAAUUAAUUUUUUAAAUUAAAAAAAAAAUAAAAUAGCCCAGUAGCCCUGAAAACCAGCAUAUAUGUAUACAUCAGUUGGAGUAUAGCUACAAGUGCCAAAAAAAAAAACCAUAGUUUCACAACUUGCUUUAGUACCCUACAAAUUGCAAUUGGUUAAGAUUGUAUUAUAUACGAGAAUAAUUUAAGAAAGAAAGAAAAAAAAAGAUAAUGUACAUAUAAAAGAAGUUAAAAACUAAAGGUGAUGGAGUUUUUUUUCCCUAGAGAAACAGGUAUGAAAAAAAAAUGAUGGUUAAAAAUGCCUUAAAUUAGAAGAGGAAGUUGGGCAAAAAUAGAAGAGGAUCUGAGGAUGCAAACGUAAUAAUGUCUUUAACAGAAAAAAUGAAACAAACGCGCGCUUUCUGUCCUCCGAAGAAACAGCAAAAACUAGAGGAAGAGAACACAGCUUGACCCAGUCUCCGAAUUUCUGCUUCCUCUUAUAACCUUCUCCUCUCACUCUUACAUGGGUUUCCCUCAGACUCCCCUUCUCUGCCUCGCCGCGUUCUCGCGCGGCGCCUGCAAAAAUUUCACUCUCCCAAUUAAUAUAAACAAAAAGCCCUUUUCAUUUUCAGUUUUCUUUCUUGUCCUCCAAUCUAGCUAGCAACCUUAACCCAAUAAAAAAAGAAAAAGAAAUAUUAAUCAUGAAAGCAUUGAAAAUACCUUGUAUACUGAUACAUGUCGUAUUGAUUCUUGUUUGCUUAAGGACUCAGAUUUGUUAUGGACAAGAUUACCCUGAUGCCGAAUCACCUCCGGCUCCUCCGGCGCCUCCUCCGGGCCAAGACUUAUGCAAUGGGAUCUUCUUGACGUAUAACUUUAUGGGACGUGAAUUGUUAUAUCCUCAUCUCAAGAAUGCAAGCGCCCAAGCUUGGGCGUUUAAGGCGAUGGCCACAGUCGUGAAUGCUGGCUCUGACGAGUUGAAAGCUUGGAAAUUGUUUGUAGGAUUUCGUCACAGAGAGAUUUUGGUGUCCGCUAGUGGGGCUACCAUUAUCGAUGGAGGUGAUUUUCCGGCUGCUGUUGGUAAUGGAACGACGUUUGUAGGGAAUCCACAGGCAGACUUGAAGACCGCCAUUGAAACUGCCGGAGAUUAUCCUCAGAUUUCUGCGCAGAUUGAGAUUAAAGGCACUCAGUUCGGCGUUAAACCGCCCACGAUUCCGAUGCCCAAAUCCCUCAAGCUCGUCAAUGACGGCUAUCUGUGUCCUGCGGCAAAGAAUGAUGGUACCUAGAUACAUUUCUCUCCUAUAUUAAUGAAUUAUUUCUCAGAUCAUAUAUUCGCACCACAAAAAUAUGUAUAUAACUGCAUAUAGAAUAAUGAUCUAAUGGGCAGCGUUACAUUACUAGGAUCUAUAGCUUUAGUAUUUAGCAAACAGUUGCAUAAUUAAGCCAUUAUGUCUAGAUGCUCACCAUAUAAUAUAGACAAAGUUUCUCACUAGAUCAUUUUCCUGAAUAUACAAUGCAAACUAACCACUGUUUGACAUUACAUACAGGAAGCUACAUGUACACAUGUUGUAAAAAGGAUCCCAAAUUCAAGGCUCCGCCAGUGAAAGGCACAAAGUUCGCACCGCGGCAGAACGGCGAUCUGUUGCUAAGUUAUGAUGUGAUGCAAGCCUACGGUAACAACUAUCUCGCACAAGUAACAAUGGAAAAUGAGCAUCCCUUGGGGCGCCUUGAUCACUGGAAUUUAACGUGGGAAUGGCAGAAUAAUGAGUUCAUUAGCCAAAUGAGAGGAGCCUUCACUCACAAGAAGGAUAUUUCCGGAUGCCUUUAUGGCCCUGCUGGUAAAUACUACAAAGAAUUUGAUUUCUCUCAAGUCGUCAAUUGUGAGAAAAAGCCAAUCAUUUCUGAUCUGCCAGCAACCUACUUCAAUGAUACAAAACUUGGCAAGCUGCCUUAUUGUUGCAGAAACGGCAGUCUUUUACCAAAACUCAUGGACGAAAGCAAGGCUACAUCAGUGUUUCAGUUGACUGUUUUCAAAUUACCCCCUCAUGAUAACAGAACGGCUCUGGUUCCACCCAUGAAAUGGCAAAUCAGAGGUGAUCUCAAUCCAAACUACAGGUGUGGCCCUCCUAUUAGAGUAGAACCAACUGAAUUUCCUGAUCCCUCUGGACUUCAAUCUACGACCACAGCUGUCGCGAGUUGGCAAGUUGUCUGCAACAUUACCAAGUCAGAGAUUAAGCAAUCCAGUUGCUGCGUUUCGUUCUCUGCUUAUUACAAUGAAUCCAUCAUUCCUUGCCCAACAUGUGCUUGCGGAUGUCCGGAUCCUGAAAAAUGUAACCCCAAGGCUAAAGCGAUGUUGCUGCCUUCAGAGGCUCUUCUUGUGCCAUUCAGUAACAGGACAAAUAAAGUAGUUGCUUGGGCUGGACUCAAACAUUUGCCUAUUCCUAAGCCAUUGCCAUGUCCCAAUAAUUGUGGGGUUAGUAUUAAUUGGCAUGUAAGUACUGAUUACAAGGAUGGAUGGACAGCUAGGGUUACACUCUUCAAUUGGGAUACUUUACCUUUUGAAGAUUGGUUCCUUGCCGUCAAAAUGGACAAAGCUUUUGAUGGGUAUGAAAAUGUGUACUCAUUCAAUGGAACAAGGCUGCCUAAUAAGGAAAACAAGACCCUUUUCUUUCAAGGAUUAGAGGGUUUGAAUUAUUUGGUGGGAUUGACAAAUGGCACUCGGCCUGGUGAGCCUCAAGUGCCUGGAAAGCAGCAAUCCGUGAUUUCAUUCCUUAAGAAAAAGACCCCUAACAUUGAUGUUCAGAGAGGUGAUGGUUUCCCUGCAAAGGUCUACUUCAAUGGUGAGGAAUGUGCACUUCCCAAAGACUUUCCCAAACGCGAUGCCGCACAUAAAUCUGCUGUCAACAUUGUCCUCAUUAUCUUCAUCACGGUUCUGACAUUCGUUCUUAUCCAAGAUCGUUGAGAGUGCACGCCAUUGGGGGAUCCUUUUUUUUGUUCCUAUCUUUCUAAAAGUUCUGUUAUUGUAGGGAAAUUUAUGUUGGUAAGAAUUUGCAUUACUUAUAUUUGUUCAUCAAGCAUUUUGAAGUACUCUUUCAUGUGAGAUUUUUAAGUAAUUACUAUUCUUUUCUGAGCUACAAAGUUGGUUGUUCUGCCUUCAGCACAAUGGAGAGAUUCAUCAUCUAUUUACGCAUGCAUUUGGGUAGAAUUUAGAACAAUGAAUGGUGAAACCAUGUGAUUCAAGACAGUGAGAAGUUUGUAACAAGAAGUUGGAACAGAAAUUAUACUAUUGUAUAAGAAGAAUUUUUAUAAGUACUUAGUAGUUGUUACGUAUACACAUAUUUACAGCUAUUGUAGCUAGCAAACGUUGCAUACUUUACAUGAAUUUUUUCCAAAGUUAAUUAUUCAUUGAAAUCGACAUCUUAUGGGGUUAGUUUGGUUAGUAUGUUCAUAUUGCAAUCAAGGUCAACGAUUUCUGCUUGCUUCAAAUUUCCACUCAUUUCAAUUCCUAAUAUUUAUUAUUUCUACAUAAAGAAAUGGCCUAUGAAAUAUGAAUUCUUUGGAUUUCAAUAUAUUUCCUCUACCCUCUGUUAAUCGUGUGAUAGGCAUGAUUUUGUGGCUCAUCGUCAAGUGUGAAUGGACCAAAUGUUCCGUUCGUUCAAUGCAUUGCUCAAGGCUCAAGCAGAGGGCACGCCACCGGAGGCGCUUUGAAGGUGAAAUCGUGGAAGACUGCCAACCAAUUUAUUGAGAAGAAAGUCGGUGUAAAUUCUCAUAAACCUUACUCAUAUUGAAAAGUUAGCUCAUGAAUUGACGGUCAUUGUAACACCCGUAUUUUGUUUCUUUUAAUUUUUAUUUUAUUACACUUAUUUUAUAAAUAUGGUAUUUUAGGUUAACAAUAUUUACAAGUGUUUUAAAUUUUGAAUUUCAAAUCUUUUACCCUCUUAUAUAUUAUUUCCUAUUAAUUCAUUUUCUUUAAAAAAAGAAAUAAAUAUCUUAUUGAAAAGUUUAGUAUUCAAAAGUUUGGUUUUAUAAAAGCUUUUCUUACAUUAGUCUUCAAAAAUGUAAACACAUACCUUUUUAGAAAGCAGAGGAGAAAAAUUUUAGGGUGUUUCUAUUUUCGAUAAAAAGAGUUCUUGAGUUUUGAUAUAGUUUUGAAGAAAGAAGAUUAAAAUCAAUAAGUAUUUAUAAUCUUUUGAAAUUCUGAUUUAUUUAUAAUUUUAUGUGAUAGAUUGAAGGUUAGUUUGGUAAUUCUGUAAUUUUUAAAAUAAUUGUUACUAGCUAUGCUAUAAAAAUAAUUAGCGAUAAAGAGAACAAGUUAAAAAUUUAGUAAAAUUUAUUUCUAAAAUACUGUGAGUUUUAAAAGUAGUAGUAUGUGUUUAGUAAAUCUUACUGUCAAACUGUUGCAAGAAUAUAAAUGACUAAAUUAGACAUAAUAUAAAAUAAAAUUUAUCUACACAAUUUGUAAACUUGUAUAUAAUUUUUUGUGUGUAUAUAUAAUAAUAAUAAUUGAUAACUAAAAUAAACAUUUUAUAAUACUACUUUUAUUUUUCAUUUUGUUAUCUUAAUAUAAUUGUAAUAUAAUAAUCUCUUUAAUGUUAUUGAUUUUAUUUCCUAAUUAAUAAGGAGAAUUUUGGAUUUUUAUAAUAUAUAUGAGGAUAUAUAUAUUUAAUUAUAUCAAGUAUAAAAGUGAUUUUCUAUAACACUCCAAAUUCACCAAGGAUCUCAAGAGAAAUUUAAAAUGAAACCUCAUAACAUUACUCUUAUUGUUAUUCCCAAAAGAAAAUUAAUACUAGUUAUAGUCGAAAUGUAGUCUCUAAAUAAUAAAUAGAACAAUAAUCCUCCAAACCAAAAAAUUCAGCUCUAAACAAUAACCAAACUGGCAACAAUUUAUUCAUCUAAAAAGUCAAAGUUUUUCAACUAACAAAUCCUCUUCUCUAGACCAAAAAGCCUCAUCUCUAAAACCAAUCCGUAAAAUGUUGGAUACAAGAGAUGAGCCGUUAUCUCGGUAAGCAAACUUUUGUAUAAGAUUACGAAUAACAAUAAAGUACAUGAAAAUCAUUUUAAAGUACCAUAAAUUAGAAACCAGUAAUUAUUUGAUAAUCUAAUACAUAUGUACGGUAGAACCCAUAAUUACUUAAGUCAUAAUGUGAAUAAUCGUUGUCAAUAAAUACUCAUUUACCAAUACAACUUUUUUAUUUGUUCAAUUGCUCAUGCAACAUAGUGUCACAUGUAGUCCCGAUGACUUAGCCAGUAGUUCAUUAAGUCACCUGAAACCCCAAUGACCCGGUUGGUAGUUCAGUAAGUCACCUGUAACCCCGAUGACCUCGGUCAGUAGUUUAAUUAGGGUAGGUUACUCCGCAAUAAUUGUCAAUAAGUGCAUUCACUAAACUAUACUCGACCAUCUUAGAGGAGCUGAUUCCUAACAAGCUAUAUAUGUGUCGAAAAAAUCAUAAAUAUCAUAAAAGGCUACUAUGAACAUGUUGGCAUUCAAUAUAAAAGUUAACAAGAUUAAUUAGAGUUCAUAAAUAGCUUCGAAAACUGAUUUUUCAUAAAAAUGUCAAAACUAUCCAAUGGUAACAAGAAACAAAAGAUUGCUAAUUCAAAAAUUCAUAACUUUAGUUGCACAUAUUCAAAAAUAGUGAUUCAAGUUAGAGGAAACAAUAAGGAAUCAUAAUUAAAAUUUAUAUGGUAUUUACUAAUGAAAAUGUAACCCAAACUGACUUCAAUAUCAACCCUCGCAAUUUUGGAAAACAAUUCCAAGGAUUAGGGUAGCCCAACUCUAUAAUUUCUAAUGAUUUUUAUAUAAAACCAAAAAUUAUGAACUUAAAUAUACAAAAACUAGACAUAUACAUGUUGGUAUGAAUUCAAAUGCUAUUAGUGUCAAUGUACAAGUAUACACAACAAAUAAUAAAGUGAUGAGUAUUCAAAAUCGUCUCCACAGGGAUUGAUGUUAUCAGACUUGCUACAGCAAUCUUAACAGUACAGAUUUUGUUUUAAAUUAAGAUAAAACAAUUAAUGAAAUUAAUAUACUAAUUAAAAUAAAAACGCAAUAAAUAAAAUGCAACAAAGUAAAUUAUCAUGUCAAGCUCAAGGAUAAAACCAAUAGGAAUAUAGAGUAGUUGAGUGAAUAAACUCUCUUAAUGGUUUUGACUAUUUUUCUAAUGUUUGGCUCGGUUGCUACAGUAUUUACUACAGCACUAGGCAGAAUCCUUAUGUAUCCUCAGUCGUCGCAUAUUAGAUAUCUUAUAUCUAUAUGCAACCUAAUAGUGAUAAGUUGUUAUGCCAACAUAAGAUAGAACAUUAGACGCUUUGGUUCUAUUUACUCUACAAGGUAAAUCCCUAUGUCUAGUUCAUCAUUAAUCUUAAAUCAAGCAUAGCCCUUUUGGGACUCAAGUAAAACUCAAUCCUGAAAACCCAAUUUAAGAUCAAGCAUUACUUUGUUAUGUUUCACUAAGAUAGGCCCUUUUGUGGCUCUUCCUUAGCUAGUAUCAUUAAAUUGGUGAUAAUCCGAAAUAAUGAAUAAAAAUAAAUGCUAUCAAAAUAAAAUGCUACAGCAAACACACAGCAACUCAUAUUUUCAGUCAAUAAACCAUCAAGAUUGUUUAUCACUCAACUACAAAUAAAUUUAGUUCAUGGUUUGCAAAAGAAAAAUAAAGAACAAAGUUUCGGCCAUGAAACACAUCCCCAUGAAUAAAUAAAAAACACAAAAACAAGAGAAGGAUAAGAAUGAUUGAGCUCCCAAUUGAUCUCUGCAAUUUUUUCUCUUAUGCAGCCCUUAAUCUCUCUCUUGAAUCUUGUUUUUCUUUUGUUUCUUUUAUGUUUUUCUCCUUGGGUGACGACUCCUCGUAUUCCUUAUGAUGUGUGCUCCUUUUAUAGUUGAAAAUUAGGGUAAAUAGGAGCCUAGAUCGCGCAUAAGUCAGAUUAGGAAACUGCAGAUCGCAAUUCUGCAAGUAUUCUACACGAAAUUUUCUCUGUCGUUGUUCCAGGAUUGCUACAACAAUGUUGCUACAACAACGACUACAACAACUGCACUGUUCCAGAUUUGUUUCAAUUCUUUUGUAGCCAUGUUCUUUCCUUAUUUUUUCAAGCCUAUUGCAUUAGCAUUCUUUCCUUGAAAUUUGAACUUCCGGACACCUACAAUUAUGCAUACAAUCUAAGCACAAAUUAUUUUAAAUCAAACAAAAUUAAUUAAGAAUAAACUAGGAUGAAUGUUUAUGCAAAAUAUAACAAAACUGCAAUGAAAACACAUCAUUUACUCUCUAAGUAUUAUUGAUUUAAGUCUAAAAGUGUCAUGAUAACUUUCAUUUCACAGAGUUAUCACACCCGCAAACUUAAACCAUUACUUGUCCUCAAGUAAUGACAACAACACUAACACUUCAAUCACACAAUCAUGCAACAAAUAACUUAGUGUUUUCGAUAGAUUUUGGGGUAGGAAAAACCAAACCUAUCUAGAGCAAUGAAUUUGUAUUUUUGGGGGAGACGGGGUACCUCAGUAGUUUGUUGGUGUAUCUGAAAUUCGGGGGAGGUGAGAAGGGGAGAUGGAGUGGUAACAAUGGUGAAAGGUCAGAACCAAGAGAGAUGUCCUUCAAAAUGAGCUUCACACCUGCAAAACAGUGAAAUAGAGGUUAGAGGUGAAGCCGGGGUACCCCGACGUUCACACUCCGACGCUCAAGUUAGCAAACUCAAGCUUUUAUGGCAAAGAGAGCUGGGUAGCCCUCUGUAAAUUAGGGUUUAAGGUUGAAGAAAACCUAUUUUUUGGAGUGUGAGUGUUAAUGGUGAGUGAGAGCGUCUCUCAAGAAUGAAACAUAGGCGCCUUUAUAUAUGGAGUACCUCAGCUGCCACGUGGCGUACCCAUCUCUCACAAGCGUUUCGAGGAUCUUGCCCAUGCAAUACUUAGGGCGGUUGGAUUUCGGGUACCCGAAAGUUCUCCACCACCUCAGACGGACCAACAAGUUAUGGUUAGAAAAGAGGUACCCGAGGCCAGCAAGCCAAAACAUGGGCCAUCGGGUACCCGUUCUAAGUUUCAAAUCGUGGGCUCCCGAGAUGAGCAUUCCACCGCCUCAUGCAAUUCCCGCAACAGCCAGGGUACGAGGCGUGUAAAACGUACCCACGAGGAUCUCCGUGAAAAGAUAAACGCCAAAAAGGCUUCUCAAAUGGCGGCAACAUCGUCAAGUACCCUAAGGGUACCCCUCGAUUUUGUGGAAAAAAUGGAGAACCUGGAAGCUCAAGUGAAGCUCAUCUCCGAGAAGCAAAACAUCACAAGUGCUCCCACUCCAAUGACCUACCAAUCGCCAUUCACCAUGGAGAUUCGGACGACGGCUCUUCCCGAAGCGUUCACCAUGCCUCAGAUACCCCAGUAUUCGGGUACCACUGAUCCCUCGGAGCAUGCUAAGCUAUACCGUGACCAAAUGCUUAUCAAGGGUGUAGAUGAGAAAGCCAUGUGUAGGAUGUUUACACACACUCACGGGCCCCGCGAAGUCAUGGUUUCGGUCUUUGAAGGCGGGUAACGUAUCUUCUCUACACCAAUUGUUAUCCAAAUUUACUAAAGAAUUUUCUUAUGCUUCUACUCAAGAUAGGGCAGCCUCCAAAUUUGCCUUUAUCAUGCAAGGGGAAGCCGAACCCUUGGCGGAGUAUGUGAGCCGCUUCCACCAAGAGAUGUUGCGAACCGAAGCAUUUAGAAACUAACACACAUUAACCCAUUUUGAGAAAAAUUUACGGUUGGGCAAGCUAUGACAUUCUUUUCAAAAGAAGCGCCCCUUUUCAUAUAAGGAAGCCUGUUCUCGGGCAUUGCAGCAGGUGAAGAUGGAUGAGAAAUGCUAUUUGAAGCGCCAAGACGUUAAGGUCGAAGUCAUAAAGAACAAGGAGAAGCCCAAGAAAGUCGAAGCCCCGAUACCAGGGGUACCCCGAACACGGAGCCCUCUACGGGCUGCCCCGCGGGGACGAGGGUAUAACACUCAGGGUAUCUCACAGGUACCUCAACCUCCAAGAUCGCCACCACCAGAGCAGCAAGAGCCACCACCGAGGCCUCGGUGGUGGAGUACCCUAUAACUAGUUACUCUGGAGUUAUGCAGGGAUACCCCAAGGGGACCAGAUUAAGCCCAAAUGUGAAUUGGAGACACCUUUGGAUCCUCAAAUACCCAAAGAUGAAAAACGGGGUACCCCAGUUGAAGACCCAAUUUCAGUCUCGAUUUACGCCACCGAUCCAACAAAGACCGUCAAAAUAGGCUCCGACCUUUCAGAAGAACAACAAAGAAAAGUCAUACUACUAGUAAAGUGAUAACACUCUACCUCCUUCUGCUUAUUUUGUUUGUUUUCUUUAAUGCUUGUAUGUUUGAAAUAUAUGCUUGGCUAUGUGGUGUAUCCAGAGUGUACCCCAAACUGGUCAGUUUCCUAAGCCUUUAAUGACAAUAACAAGUGAUCCCGGGAUCCCUCAUAUUCUCCUUAAGAUAACAAAAUAGUGUCAUAUAAUGAUCCAUAUCGCCACUAUUUGUGAAUGAAUUUUCUUUACAAAGUUUGAUAAUGUGUGCUCUUUUAUUUGCCUCUCGAUUUUUUGGUAUGGAUGAGUAACUUGAAAUGCUAUAAUAAUAUGUUCACCAUUAAACUAAUUCUAUAUAUGUCGUUGAGCAUUGUUUAUUAUGAAGCAUGAUGGUAUCCAGAGAUCACCUUAUUCCAGGGUACCCGAGGUACCUUAUUCUAGGGUACCCGAGGUGUACCUAACCAAUCUCCGAUCAUGAUAAUCUAUUCAACAGUAGACCCAGCAAAAGGGCACUCUAGUAGCCGUCUUUAUUAUUAUUUGUUCGCCAUAUUUGGUUCCAUGCGAAUGGUGGAUCAUGCGGUUUCGACCAUCUCGCCUAAGGGUAGGCAAGCAGCCACCUUUAUCUCAAUCUAUAUUGUUUAUUUGAUUCCAUGCGAAUGGUGAAUCAUGAGGUUUUCGACCAUCUCGCAUAAGGGUAGGCGAGCAGCUACCUUUAUCUCAAUCUAUGUUGUCUAUUUGAUUCCACGUGAAUGGCAGAUCAUGAGAUUUUCGACCAUUUUGCAUAAGGGUAGGCGAGCAACUACCUUUAUUACUAUUUGUCUUGCAUAUUUGAUUUAGAGUGAAUGGUCGAUCAUGAGGUUUUCCAUCAUCUCUCAAAAGGAAUUGCCACAGGUUUUGUGAAGAUUUGCGGCAAACAUUUCUAUGAAAAUCGACAUACGCUGAUUAAGGGUACCCCACGCCAGAAAGUUAUUCCUUAGAUACACCAGGAGGAACUCUAAGAAAGCUUAAGAUAAGCGACAAGCAUAUCUGGAGGAAUCGCCUUAUGUUUGAUUAAAUUGGGUUAUUCCACCAUAAAGUAACAGAUAGCUCAAGGGAUAUCCAAGCAUUAGGGUACCUGAGGUACCCCAUACACCUUGUCAGUAAUGCCGAACAAGGUUACACAGCAGGAUGUUUAUUUUCAGCUUCAUCUCUUAGGAUGAGGGGAUCAACAAAAGUGCUAAAAGUAGCAAAAACACAAGGGUCAGUAUUAGGGGUACCUUAUAGAUACCUCAUCUGAGGUACCUCAGCUGGUCUCAAUGGGCUUUCAAACCAAGAUGUGUUAGGAGCCCCGCUAUCGUCAAUCGCCUUCAAGAUAGCCGGUUCAUCUACCAUCUUCUCCACUCUUGGCACCACCAACCCCAGAUCAACACUUCAUUCCUCGAUCAUGAUGCGCUUAAAAGCAUUAUCGACAAUGUUCUUCUGUCGAGGGUACCUCUGAAGUUGCAAGGAAGGAAGCCAUGUGAUUUUAUUUUUGUCUUCGAAGCACAUGAAGGAAAGGUACCCUUAAAUAAGGUGGAUCCUGAGAUAAUCAAAUAAUUGCUUCUUAAAUGCCUAAAGAAUGCAUUGAAGCCUUCACCAGAGCGAUUUAUACAUGGCAGUCACUAGAAAACAAACUAUGGAUAAUGGUGGGGUACCCUAACGGUACCCUCUACCCGUAUUUGGUGUUCUUCCCCAGAAAUAGAUGAAAAUUUUUUUAUCAAUCAGCUCUGUCCUUUCCAACAAGUCCAAAUUGGUAGCCAUUUCGGAUGAAAGGGAGCCCAUCUUCCCUUUUUGGGUUCUUAGGGUACCCCUAAAGGCGCCCUCUAUUCAGUUACCCAUUGAGCUAAACAUCAUAUCGCCACGUGUCGCUCCUACUUUUUAUGUAAGUUUCUUUUGCCUCCAAAAACUUCUCGCCAAAAGAAACUAGGAGGAUGUUAUUUGGGGAAAAAAUAGGAAAGAUAGCAGAACGCCACGUGUCAACGAGUGGAAUUGUUUCAGUGUAAUCUGAGGUACCCGGCAUGAUUCGAGGUACCCCGCACAAUUAGAAGUACCCGACAUGAUUAGAGGUACCCCACAUAAUCGGAGGUAUCCCGCAUAACUCUAGAGUAACUCGAGGUACCCCGCAUAACUUCAGAAUAACUCGAGGUACCCCGCAUAACUCUAGAAUAACUCGAGGUAUCCCGCAUAGAUUGAGGUACCCCUUAUAAUUCGAGGUACCUGGAAUAACUCCAGCAUAACUCAAGGUACCCGGAAUAACUCGAGGUACCCAGAAUAACUCUAGCAGAAUUCAAAGUACCCGGACAAAUAAAGGUACCCAACAUGAUACGAGAUACCUCGCACAAUCCGAGGUACCCGACAUGAUUUGAGGUACCUUGCAUAAUUAGAGGUACCCCACAUAAAUAGAAGUACACUGCACAAUUAGAGGAACCCCACAUAAAUUGAGGUACCCGACGUAACUCGAGGUACCCGGCAGAUCAGAUGCAAGAGAAUCCUCCGAAAAUAUCCGCCAUGAGAAACGUCUCCACUUCUUAAAAGAUAUUAUUCGAUUUUGUCAGAAUUAGGAAUAAAAAAUGUCGUGCUAAAAUGAGGGACAACCGCCUGCCACCUCUACCAAAAGUGAAGGACAUUGUCCCAAGGACAGUGGUCCUCAGCCGCCUACCCAACAGCUACCGCAGAGGUACCCUAGACCACUCUCCAGCGCGCGCCACGUUUCCAAAGGAUGAGAUAAGCCACAAACAUGCACAUAACGGCUCAAAAAUCAUAAGAAGGUAAAAAGAUGUUAGCCAAAAAGGGUACGCCACGUGGCAGCUGAGGUACUCCAUAUAUAAAGGCGCCUAGGUUUCAUUCACGAGAGACACUCUCACUUACCAUUAACACUCACACUCCAAAAAAUAGGUUUUCUUCAACCUUAAACCCUAAUUUACAGAGGGUUAGCCAACUCUCUUUGUCAUAAAAGCUUGAGUUUGCUAACUUGAGCAUUAGUGUGUGAACGCCGGGGUACCCCAGCUUCACCUCUAACCUCUAUUUCACUGUUUUGCAGGCGUGAAGCUCAUUUUGAAGGACAUCUCUCUUGGUUCUAACCUUUCACCAUUGUUACCACUCUAUCUCCCCUUCUCACCUCCCCCGAAUUUUAGAUACACUGCACACAAUAAACUAGUGAGGUACCCUGUCUCCCCCAAAAAUACAAAUUUAUUGCUCUAGAUAGGUUUGGUUUUUCCUACCCCAAAAUCUAUCGAAAACACUUAGCUCUGUCAUCAAAUUUGCAAAGAUUCUUCAACUUUCAGAUCACACUUUUAAUCAUACAAAAUUGCCAUAGCAAUUCAAGUUUUAGACUUAGGCUUCAUUCUGUCCAGAGUGUGUGUGUGCCACUUUGAUAAAAUUCCAGAAGUGCUACAACAUUACACAGACAUUGCUUAUAAUUCAAAGGUAGAACACAAAUAUAUUCACAUAUAGGGGAGCAGAAUUCAUAAAUAAACUCAAACUAUGCUUCAACAAACAUAAUUUUUUUUUUCAGUUAAACUCUUAAAUACAACAUUGAGCUUUCAUGUGAAUGCCUAUCACUUGUAAUGAUGACACCCAAUUACUCACUCAAAGUACAUGUCAAAGUUGCUGCAGUAACACAUCCAAGAUGCUAUAUCUAUGUCUUCCCUUUGGACGCCUUUAACUCAAGGCUGAACAUAUGGCUCAUGAACAGACCAGGUUACUCAGUAUCCUAGGCAGCGGACUUCUUUAUUUUUAUUCCUUCAUCACUAUUUUUUUUAAUAUAAUUGCUGCAGCACUGCUCAUGGCUUUUGUUGUCUUUGGACUCAAGUCUGCAUAUGAGGUGCAUACUCAACCCUGAUUACUCAGCAACUUAAACCAUUGGAGCAUAAUUUAUUUCAUAACAAGCACAGUCCAACAAAAAUAUUCCUCCAAACUUGAGAUAUUUUCUACUUUUUUUUGGUUUUCCUGGUUCUGCUACAGCAUUCUUAUAAAACUCAACCAAAAGUCUAAGUGUCGGGACAGAAUUUCAACCUCCAUCUAUAACUAUCUCUACUUAGCAUUCUCAUAAAUAUUGAAUAACACUCAAUUUAUCUUCAUUAAGUUUUUAAAUCUAUACACAAAUAUUAGAUAUCAGAGCUUCAUACAACACACAACACACAACAUAAGCAUAAACACAUCCACUCAGAAACGCAACCCCCUCAAACUUGAGUGGUGUUGUGUCCUCACAAGCACACAAAAUAAAACCACAUAAACCAGACAUGCAUACACUAAAUAAAAGGACAUGCAGAAUGAAUCAAAAAAUUAAAACUAAAUGAAAGAAAAGUUUUACAGAAAGAAGUAAAAUAAACUAGCGGGUAUGAGUACUCCCUUGUUGCUGGAAGCACUGCUGCAGUACAGGUUGUAAAGGGUCACUUCUUCUUUGAUCCACUUCUCAAACGCUCCUUAUCAUAAAAUUUGAUCAAUCCAUUUGCUGCUGCAAAAGUACGAAAUACCUCUGUUGUUUGAGACUUUUCUGUUAUAUGUCAUGUUGUAAGUGAUGCUGCAGCAAUUCCUUCUUGCUCUUUUUGCCCACAUUUUUUUUACUUGCUGUAAUUUAACACAAAGACAAAAAAUUAGAUGCACACUUAAAAUAACAAAAAGACAAAUCAAAUAAUUUAAAAGCUAAAUUCAAUGCCUUAAAAACUUGAAACAACUUCCCUUAUUAGGUUGCCUCCCAAUUAGCACUUGAGUUUAGGUCUUUCAGCCUGACUUUUCUUGUUUGCUCAACUUAGAUCCUUCAAGAACCAAUCCGUCUUUAGGUUGUUCACAUCAUCUCCCAUAUAGUGCUUCAUUUUCGACCCGUUAACCUUGAAUUCUUGUUGGUCUGGAGUGAGUUCCCUUUGUUGGAUUUGCUCGUCAAUUCUGAAGGGUUGCUUCUCCCCCGACCAUGUUAUGUUAGUUGCUCCACGAUCUUCAUCAUCAAGUUCUUCAAAUGUUACCACAUUGAUUUCUUCCUUACUGCAGCAACUGUGUAAUCUCUCUGCUACAACAAAGUCCACAACACUGAUAAAAUUACAAUCUUCAAUCUCAUCGGGAUUCUUCAUGGCAUCCAGCACAUUGAAUGUAACUUGCUGGUCAUUCACCCUCAUUGUUAAUUCUCCUUUUUAAACAUCAAUUAAAGUCUUUCCUGGUUAAGAAAUGUCUCCUUAAAAUGAUUGACACUUCUUUGUCUGCCUCAAAGUUUAGCACAAUAAAAUACACUGGAAAAAUAAAAUUAUCCACCUUUACCAAUACAUCCUCAAUUUUCCAUUCUGGAUAGGCAUGAGAUUUGUUAGAAAGUUGUAGAGUCACUGUUGUUGGUCUACAUUCACCAACUCCCAAUUGCUUAAACAGUGAUAGAGGCAUGAGAUUGAUGCUAGCCCCAAGAUCACAGAGUGCUUUGCCACUGUAUUUAGUGCCUAUGGAGCAUGGGAUUGUGAGCUUUCUGGAUCCUUCAUCUUUUGUGGUAUCUUACUCUGAAGCAUUCGGCUGCACUCUUGUGUUAGAGCAAUUAUUUCAAAUUCUCCAAGUCUUCUUUUCUUUGUCAAAAUAUCCUUAAAAUUUUUUACAUAAUUCGGCAUUUGCUCUAGAGCUUCCACAAAAGGGAUAUUGAUAUGUAGCUGUUUCAGCACUCCUAAGAUUUUGCUAAAUUGCUUGUCUUGUUGUUGUCUUUGGAACCUUUGAGGAAAUGGUGGUGGGUGCCUAAACUGUUGUGCUGCAACACGUUCUGCAGACUGCUUCUCUUUUGCCAUGCUCUGGGUUGGUGCCUCGUUAUCCACAUGUGUUGGAUCAUCAUUUUCGACAAAUGUAGUAGCUUGACUGCUCUCACCAGUGUUCUGUGAAGUGGAGGAUUGUGGCUCUUUUCAAUUUGAGUUUCUUUCUGGAUUGAAAUGGACUCAGCUCUUCUUUUUGGUACACCAACGAGAUUAUGAACAUCCUUUUUAGAUCUCAAGUUAAUUACUUUGCAAUGCUCUUUUCUUUCUCUUCUUGGGUCCUCUGUGUUACUGGGUAAACUGCUCUGAGGUCUGUUACUUAAUGUUGUAGCAAGCUGUCCAAUUUGAUUUUCCAAGUUUCUCAAAGAUACAGUAUGAAUUUGGACAACUGCUUCAUUCUUCAUAAUAUAAUCCUUAAUCAAACCUUCAAGGGAGCUAAGUUGAUCAUUGUUGAUGCUUCUUUGCUCUUGAUUUUGCUGAUAAAAUCCACUAGGUGCUGCAGUAGUUUGGUUCUGAUAACUCCAUGAAAAGUUCGGAUGCUAUCUCCAUCCAGGGUUGUAAGUGUUUGAAUAUAGAUUGUCCUGAUUCUGUCUAUUGAAGCUACCCACAUAAUUGACUGAAGCUGGAUUCUCAGGACAAUUGUCAAAUAAAUGCCCUUCUUCACAAUAAAAGAAAGACACGUCAGAAAUUUGGUUAGCAGUUGUUAGAGCAGUAGUCAUAGCCUUUACCAUCCUUGUUAAUGAAGUUACUUGGGCUGACAAUGAUGUCAACGUAUCUACAUUAUGAACUCCUGUUGUUCCUCUUGCUGCAGCUUGUCUGGUUUAUGGCCACUGAUAGUUAUUGUUGGCUAUUCUUUCCAAAAUUUCACAAGCCUCAUUAUAAGACUUUAGAUAACAAGGCCUCAUUUGCUGAAGCGUCCACCAUCAAUCUAGUGCUUUGGUUGAGACCAUUAUAAAAAGUUUCCAACUGUAUGCAGUAAGAAAUACUAUGAUGAGGACAUCUUUUGAGUAACUCAUUAAAUCUCUCCCAUGCAUCACACAAGCUCUCAUCUUCAAGUUGAUGGAAAUAUGUGAUCUCGUUCCUCAAUUUUGCAUUCUUAGUUGGCGGAAAGUAUUUCAUCAAAAAUUUGUCAGCCAAGUCACUCCAUGUAGUGAUAGAAUCUGGUGGUAGAGAAUUCAACUAUGCUCUUGCUCGAUCUCUCAAAGAAAAUGGGAAAAGUCUGAGCCUCAAUGCUUCCUGCGAUACUCCAACAAUCUUGAAAGCGUCACUCACUUCCAAAAAUAGCUUAAGAUGUAGAUGAGGAUCUUCAGAUGGCAGCCCAUUGAAUUGCCCCACUGUUUGCAGCAUCUGAAACAUCAUUGGUUUGAGCUCAAAAUUGUCAACUUGAACAUCGGGUCUAACUAUUCCAGGAUAUAUGGCUUGAGGAGUCAACACUGCAUAGUCUCGAAUGACUCUAUCUCUAUUGUUCGCCAUGUGAAUAAUGUUGUUGUUUCCUGGUUGCCUUUGAACACAUUGUCCAUUCAGACCUUCAUGUACAUUGAUUGGUUGUAUCUCCUCCCUAAGGUUUAAGUUUAUCUAAUCUUGCAAAUCAUCCAUUGCUACAACUUGUAAUUCCCGAUAUUCUCUUCUCAAUCUUCUUGCAGUUCUUUCAAUUUCUGGAUCAAACUGGAAUUCAACAUAUUUGUAUUUGCGCAUGCAAGGGUUGAUAGAUCACCUGUGUCAACAAAAUAAACAAAUUAAAAAAAAUUAGCACCAUUAAAAAUAAUUUCACAAAUCACAAUGAACAAUCAAUCCCCGGCAACGGCGCUAAAAACUUGUUGAGUAUAAAUACUAAUGCUAUUAGUGUCAAUGUGCAAGUGUACGUAACAAGUAAUAAAGUAAUGAGUAUUCAAGAUCGUUUCCACAGGUAUUGAUGUUAUUAGACUUGCUACAUCAAUCUUAACAGUGCAGAUUUUGUUUUAAAUUAAGAUAAAACAAUUAAUGAAAUUAAUAUACUAAUUAAAAUAAAAAUGCAAUAAAUAAAAUGCAACAAAGUAAAUUAUCACGUCAAGCUCAAGGAUAAAACCAAUGGGAAUAUAGAGUAGUUGAGUGAAUAAACUCUCUUAAUGGUUUUGACUAUUUUUUCUAAUGUUUGGCUCGGUUGCUACAACAUUUGCUACAGCACUGGGCAGAAUCCUUUUGAAUCCUUAUGUAUCCUCAGCCAUCGCAUGUUUGAUAUCUUAUAUCUAUUUGCAACCUAGCAGUGAUCAGUUGUUAUGCCAACAUAAGAUAUAGCAUUAGACGCUUUUGUUCUAUUUACCCUACAAGAUAAAUCCCUAUGUCUAGUUCAUCAUUAAUCUUAAAUCAAAUAUAGCCUUUUGGGACUCAAGUAAAACUCAAUCCGGAAAAUCUAAUUUAAGAUCAAGUAUUGCUUUGAUAUGUUCUACUAAGAUAGGUCCUUUUGUGGCUCUUCCUUAGCUAGUAUCAUUAAAUGGGUGAUCAACUGAAAUAAUGAAUAAAAAUAAAUGCUAUCAAAACAAAAUGCUACAGCAAACACGCAACAACUCAUAUUUUCAGUCAAUAAACCAUCAAGAUUGUUUAUCACUUAACUACAAAUAAAUUUAGUUCAUGGUUUGCAAAAGAAAAAUAAAAAAACAAAGUUUCAGCCAUGAAACACAUCCCCAUGAAUAAAUAGAAAACACAAAAACAAGAUAAGGGUAAGAAGGAUUGAGCUCCGAAUUGAUCUAUGCAAUUUUUCCUCUUGUGCAGCCCUUAAUCUUUCUCUUGAAUCUUGUUUUUCUUUUAUUUCUUUUAUGUUUUUCUCCUUGGGUGACAGCUCCCCUUAUUCCUUAUGAUGUGUGCUCCUUUUAUAGUUGAAAAUUAGAGUAAACGGAAGCCUAGGUCGCGCAUAAGUCAGAUUAGGAAACUGCAGAUCGUAAUUCUGCAAGUAUCCCAAGCGAAAUUUUCUCUGUCGUUGUUUCAGGAUUGCUACAGCAACGACUACGGCAAUUGUACUGUUCCAGAUUUGUUUCAAUUUUUUUGUAGCCAUGUUCUUUCCUUAUUUUUUUCAAGCCUAUUGCAUUAGCAUUCCUUCCUUGAAAUUUGAGCUUCAGGACACCUACAAUUAUGCAUACAAUCUAAGCACAAAUUAUUUUAAAUCAAACAAAAUUUAUUAAGAAUAAACUAGGAUGAAUGUUUAUGCAAAAUAUAACAAAAAUGCAAUGAAAACACAUCAUUUACUCUCUAAGUAUUAUUGAUUUAAGUUUAAAAGUGUCAUGAUAAUUCUCAUUUCAUAGAGUUAUCAAUACACGUACAAUAAUAAAAGUUCUUAGAACUUUCAAAAGUUGUUUGAGUUACCAAAUAAAUUAUAGAAAUGAGAACUCUUGCAAAAAGUUAGAAUUUUCCAGCACCAGUGUUCCAAUUUCAAAAAAAUCAAAACAAUUAAUAUGCAAUGAGUUUGUGAAUGAUAAACAUAUGGAUAGAAAAAUGAAAUGUCUAGUUUAGUAAACUAUAAAGUUUUAUGUAUGAAACUUUAUGAAAGUAGUAGUCAUAUAACAUUGAAUGUAUACUAUUCAUAGAAUUUAGGAUAACAUAAUAGCACUACUUUCAUUUAAUAACAACAUAAAUCAAUACAUGAUCAUACUUUUAAAAUUUUAUCAAUAUAACACGCAAAAUUAUUCAAUCAAUCACAUAGAAUCAAAAAUAAAAACUAGAAGUUUAAAGGAUUAUAAAUUCUUACCUACCUUCAAAACAAAAUCAAAACUCAAUAACUUCAUUUAUAGAAAAGAAAAAUACAAUCAAAAUCUUCUCCUCUUCUUAAAAAAAAACAUGAAUUUUCUCUUGUGUGUGCUACUGUUCCCCUCCCCCCCCCCCCCCAAAUUAGCCUUUAGGGUUUUAAAAAACAAAUUAACGUAAGAUGAGUUUUUCUAAAGCCAAGCCUUUUAAUACCCUUACCUAUUAAGGAAUUUAUUUUCUUUAAGGUACUUAAUAAAUUGGCAAAUCAAAUAAAUACAAAGCAAUAAACCCUUAAAAUCAUUAGCCUAAAAUACUAUAUUAUCUAAAACAACAACAACAACAACAACAACAACAACAACAAUAAUAAUAAUAAUAACAAUAAUAAAAAAAUAAAAAAAUAACGGGUGUUACAUUUUCAAAAUCAGAUUUUGAAAACCUAUUCAUUCCUUACUUUUCAAAAUCUGUUGUAGGAUGGGGUGAUUUUGCCAAAAGUGAUUUUUAAAAAAAUUUACCAAACAUUGAAAUUAUCUUUUAGAUUUUUAAAAUUACUUUUGAACCUCCCAGAAU